rnacentral:siRNA from 1 species
AGAAUAGUACCCUGCCACGGU